rnacentral:rRNA from 1 species
CCUACGGGUGGCUGCAGUGGGGAAUAUUGGGCAAUGGGCGAAAGUCUGACCCAGCAACGCCGCGUGAAGGAUGAAGGCUUUCGGGUUGUAAACUUCUUUUGACAGGGAAGAGCAGAGGACGGUACCCGUCGAAUAAGCCACGGCUAACUACGUGCCAGGAGCCGCGGUAAUACGUAGGUGGCAAGCGUUGUCCGGGUUUGCUGGGUGUAAAGGGCGUGUAGGCGGGCUGACAAGUCAGAUGUGAAAUCCGGGGGCUCAACUCCCGAACUACAUUUGAAACUGUUGGUCUUGAGUAUCGGAGAGGCAGGCGGAAUUCCUAGUGUAGCGGUGGAAUGCGUAGAUAUUAGGAGGAACACCAGUGGCGAAGGCGAGCUGCUGGACGACAACUGACGGUGAGGCGCGAAAGCGUGGGGAGCAAACAGGAUUAGAUACCCCUGUAGUC